rnacentral:rRNA from 1 species
AUUGAACACUAGAGGGAUGCUUUACACAUGAAAGUCGAACGGAGUGGCGGACGGGUGAGUAAUAUAUCGUAACGUGAGCAGUAGCGGGGGAUAACUACUCAAAAGAGUGGCUAAUAACGCAUACUAUAGGAGCGGAGGAUCGAGGAUUAGCUAGUUGGUGGGGUAAAGGCUUAACAAGGCAACGAUCCGUAGCUGGUUUGAGAGGACGACCAGCCACACUGGGACUGAGACACGGCCCAGACUCCUACGGGAGGCAGCAGUGGGGAAUUUUGGACAAUGGGGGAAACCCUGAUCCAGCCAUCCCGCGUGUAUGAUGAAGGCCUUCGGGUUGUAAAGUACUUUUGGCAGAGAAGCGGUAUCUGCAGAAUAAGCACCGGCUAACUACGUGCCAGCAGCCGCGGUAAUAC